GCAAUUUGUGUGAUACUUUCCCAGUUGUAGCAAUUUGUGUGAUACUUUCCCAGUUGUAACAAUUUGUGUUAUAUUUUUCUGCCUGCUUUGUCAAGAGCUGAACAAUUAGUUCUUACCUUGAAAAGCACACUCAAAGCAGGUGAAGACAACCCCUGCUCCCAGCACUGCCCGGCUCAUGUCGCCUGCCCCACCUGCCCCACCUCCACGCAGCGUUCAGUCCUGAUUCACUGGACCUAUGUACUGUGCCAUGCAGCAGGCAGCCAUGUUCUAUGGAAGAAGAUUGAGCCCUUAUAAUGUCUCUAUUCUCACAUAUAUCACAUGUGUAUGUGUUAUAUGCAUGUUACAUAUGUGUAACUAAUGUUACAUAUAACACAUAUAUGAUUGCAUAUAGCAUGCAUACAUAUAUUUAGCACAUGUGUAUGUAUGUGUGUGUAUACAUACAUAUACAUAUGUGUGUGUAUGUAUGUAUUUUAUAACAUAUAACACAUGUGUUAUGUAUAGUGUUACAUAUAGCCCACAUUGUUGCACGUGCUCUUUUUGACGUCUAUGGAGUCAGUAAUUGAAUGACUGGCCGGGCCUGAGCGUGGGUGAGUCUUUGUGCUUCCGCCGGUUUGUGCCUUCCUGACACUGGGGCAGCAGUUUGACUGACAGGCGCCCAGCAGGUGGUAGGGAGGGCUUGUCUGCCCAUCCCUCAUCACUUGUUUGGUUCAUGAAAGCAUAGCUUUAGCUACAUAGUUCUGAGGCCUUCUGAGUAACCCAAUGUGAGCACCACACACAGCCCAACGACCAACCUGUAUAAACACCCACCUGACCACCACCCAUGAUAGAAACUCUCUAGAGGGCUUCUCUGGGAAGCCAAACACUGGUGGGAAACACUGCUGGCACUCGAUCAGCUUUAAAACAGUGACUUUUGGCAUAGCGCUGAGCGGUGUAAUCAGGGCUAGAACUGUGGCUUAGUAUUACAACUGGGCCCACAGGGGAGCCCUUGCCUGCCUGCUUCUCUGGGCCAGUUCCUCUGACAGAAGCCACACCCAUUGCUUCAUACAACACUGCAGUCAGUCGUGGUCCCUAAAUUCCAGAGCCCUUGCUUUAUCAUGAGCUGUGGCUAAAAUUAAAGUGAGUAAUAUCCAUGGGUGUAGCAGCCUAUGGAGGAGAUGAUGACCAACACUCCUGAUUGCAUUGCAGUAAGCAUACCUUCACAACGUGCGUCUCUCCCGAUACACAGGAUGCACAUAUGCAUUGAGGGCCUUUUAGGGGAGUUCUCUAUCCCCUAUCUGGGGAUCUGCGAAGCUGGAGACAGGAGUAUCUCCACCUGGUAUUUACUUGCAGUGUACAGAGCUCUCUACCCUAACUACAGAAGCCCAAACUCAAGUGUUCAAGGUGGGACACUUUCUUAAAUUCUAAUAAGCUUACUUUUUUUUUAAUUUUAUAUGUGCUGUAUUUCUUAUAGAAAAUACAAAUAGGCAAAAGGAAAAAAAAAAAGG
rnacentral:lncRNA from 1 species